rnacentral:rRNA from 1 species
GACGAACGCUGGCGGCGUGCUUAACACAUGCAAGUCGAGCGGUAAGGCCCUUUCGGGGGUACACGAGCGGCGAACGGGUGAGUAACACGUGGGUGACCUGCCCUCAGCUCUGGGAUAAGCCCGGGAAACUGGGUCUAAUACUGGAUAUGACUCCACGGUGCAUGCCGUGGGGGUGAAAGCCUUGUGCGGCUGAGGAUGGGCCCGCGGCCUAUCAGCUUGUUGGUGGGGUGA